rnacentral:lncRNA from 10 species
CAGUGAGUUGGGAUAAAUGAAACGUGGAUCUACCAUAGACGUCUGUCCGUCUUACUGGAUAAGCGAGCACCUUUACCGGGGAAGUUAGAUGGCUGGAGUCAGCUGGCAAAUACAGAAGCAGGAAACAUUACACUGAAGCUCAGAAAAUAAUAUCCCCAAAUGAAGGCAUCAGAAAUAAAAGUUCUUCUCUGACCUUUAGACAUUGUAUUAUGAAAAAUUUCCAGCAUACAGAAAAGUUGAAGAACACCCACAUGCCUGCUACUCAGAUUCUACAAUAAACAUUUGCUAUAUUUGUUUUACCUACAUAUCUAGUCAUCCAUCCAUCCAUUCAUAUUAUUUUUAAUGCACGUCUUAUUUUUUAAUGCACUGUCAACUACAGACAUCAGUACUCUUCACCUCCAAACAUUUCAGCAACAUAUCAUUAACGAUAGUCAAAAAUUUGUUUAGAGUUCC